GUCGCUCCCAAACUGUGGAACGAGCCCCUCCAUCUGAGGAUUUGGAUAGGAAUGGAAAACUAGUGGAUGAAAACAGAGCCAACAGGACUUCACACUAUUACGGCAUGCUUUAUAAAUCAACAUUAAGUUUCUUGAAUGAAUUGCCCCAUUAUUUUUAAUACAAAAUUGAAUAUUUCAGAUUUCACAUUGCUGUGUUUUUGAUUAAAACCUUUCUAGACCUUCCUAUCUGCUGGUGAAGUACUGAAAAUUAGACCAGCACAAAUGUGUCAAAGGAGUGAAAUAGUAUUAAAAUAUGCUAUCUUUCAAAGUCCCAUUUGUGUGCAGGCUUCCUCCCUGUGUGUGUGUGUGUGUGUGUGUGUGUGUGUGUGUGUGCGCCUGCAUGUCAGCGCCACUUUAAAGAGCAGUGCCUAUCUGUCGGCCAAUCUGCUGUGACGAGACACACACUUCAGGCCGCUCCACUUCAUCGUUUUGAUUCUGUCAUACCACACACUGCCUGGAGAGGCCCUUUGAAUUUUUAUCUCCUAAUUAAAAUAACAAAACUCCUCUCCACUGUCUGCCCAAGUUACCAUCAAGGUAGAUAGAAACUGCCACUGACAAUGGCGGGGAAUAUAUCGCAGCCAUAGCCACAAAAGUUUCUCUCCUCUGAACGGAUCUUUUAGUUCAGAUGUGCUCAGCUUACAAAGAGAAUUAUGAACUAGGCCCUGACGCUCAGAUACAAAUCAGUGUUGUUAUUUUUUUUUGGAUCAAUCCAAAUCAAAGAUACUGUAUGUAUGCUCUCCUCAGCUGAAAAUGAAAAGUAGAUUAUGUGGAGUCUGAUGGAAAUGUUUUACUGCAUUUUGACAGCGGAAUAUGCACUCAGAUUGCAUCCCUUCAGCCAAGAAUGCUACAGAUCCAUCUGUUGUGUGUGAGAAUGCUGGAAGUGAGUUUUAGGACUGCAUGUCCCAGUUUUACAGAGCUACACAAAAACACUGAGGCAGCACUCGUUACAGUCACUCAACCAAGACAAGUUAGUGGGCUAUACAUGUGCUCGGGCUGCAGGAUUAUGGUUUAGACUACACCAACGUUGUCAUCAGAAUUAAUAACCAUAGCAACCUUUUCUCUCAGAUUUGUGACAGUUUGUUACUGCAAUUGUGUGCAUUAUGUAUCCAUGUUUUUACUGUUUUCUGAAAUGCAUCACAAUCAUUUAGGAAUCUAAAACUUAAAUAUACAAAAGGUGUGAUGAACUGACAUCUGACAUCACCUGCAGUGAAUGUAUGUACUGUAUGGCCAAUGCAUGCAAACGAACGUCAUUUACAUGCACGUAUGGAGAUGCAAGGCAUAGAAAACAGGCAGCACAGAGGCAUCAGAUGAGCAACAGACAAAAACAAUAUUCCAUGAAGGAGCUCUCUUUAAUGUUUGGUCUCGUCUGCUUCCCUCCGACAGCCUUUUCGUGACAGGUGAUUUGAAUCACAGAAACACAGGUGAGCUGCCUAUAACAAUGGCACGAACCGUAUGAAAGAGGGAUCGAGGAGGGAAAGGGGGGGGUCAAGAGUUACAGCGAAAAGAGCAAAACCGUAAGUGGUGGAACUGGGGGAAAGGCUGGUAAAAGUGCAGCUUGUGAUUUGCACUUGUUUGCCUGCUAACUGUCUGCAGUGAGCUUCCUUUGUGCAGUAGCCAAUGCAGUUGGAAUGAAGGCUAUUGUCUAAAUCCUCCUGCAGAGCACCUGAUAAAAGAAUAAAGAACUAUGACAUAUUCUAAAAACAAUGGAGGAAUUAAGGGGAGACAAUAGGCCAGCUGCCUCAUUAAAACAAUCAAAAACGGCAUCCUGUACGUAGUCCAGAUAAUUAAAAAAACCACUGCUUCCUACAGUCUCUCAAUACCAUAUCCACCAGCUCAGUGAGGCCCGAGACUAUGGCCCUGCUGGCUAAAUGCCCUCUUCCCUCUCUUCCCUUUGAUUAAUGCUUUAUUUGAACAUGCAGUUGAAGAUGAACAUAUGAAGGAAUUCAUGAAGCAAAAUUAUAAUGCAAACCCUUUUUCCUUCUAUAAGUACCUAUAAACUAAUCAAAUGUCUCGGGAUGAAUCACAGGGACUCAGGGGGCCGUGUGUGCCCCCUCCCCUUUGCCUAAAGCCCCGAGAGAUUUCAAAGUGCAGGCAUCACAGGGCAUUUUUUUUUAAUUUUCCUACUUUAAAUGACUUUAUAAGAAAACGGAUGUGUACAGUAUCUGUAUAUGUAUGGGGGAGGCGGGGGAGAAUAGAGCAUGAGAUACUUGAGCAGGAAUAAAAAAAAAAAAAAUCUUUUUUUCUUUCUGGCUCCCUGCAAACCGCUACCACCACCAUAUCUUAAUGAAGCCGCAAACAAAUCUCUCAUGCCUCGUGCAAACGCUGAGAGACAACAAAGCAGCAGAAAAUAACAGAAGGGCCCGGAUAAUUAAACUGGCCUGAAGACAGGUAUUCAAACGUUGGUGUGUAAACAGCACAACUCUUUAAUAGUUUAGCUGUAAAAUGCGUAGUUAAGCACAUCAGCUCUCGCCUCUCCCAUCUGUCCAAACACAUUACCGUUGCAGAGGCCAUUACAAGCACAGGAGUACAGUCCCGCUGCACCACAGCCACAUAUUAUGGGAGGGGUUGAAUGGGGCUUCUGGGAAAACUUAACAGUGGCCCAUUGGCAUCACCUGAAUGCAUCGAGGGGUCAUGUAUUAUAAAGCAUCGAGGCGCACUUUGAGAAAUGGGAACGGUUGAGAAAAAGGCUGAUUUAUACAUUUUAAAGAGCACAAGUUUUAAAUGUAUAUUGCCAGAUUUAGUGUGUCAUUUUCUUUUGUCAAGCCUGGUGCUGAUUUGUUCUCCCCCCCCCCCCCUCGGUUUUGGUAAUUCUGCACCUUUAAGAUCUCGUCUCUGUCUAUUGGCCCGGCUCUAACUGCUGGUCUUAAUUGUGAAGUGAAGCCAGCGGUGCCUGAAGCCACAGCCAGGGUUGUAAUUAAAGACCUCUACUCUUCUUGUCUUCAAAUCAGCUCCAACUCCUCCUGGUCAAAUGGGAACAAGCUCCUCGCACCUACGAAUAUCAAGUAGCUGCGUUCUGUUAACCGCCACGUUUUCUUCUUUUUCCUCAACAAAUCUUUAUCAUAGGAGUACAUUACAACUUCCCAGUUAACUUCCCUGGAUCUUUCCAAAUUGUGGAUGAAUAAUAUAAUGUAACUGCACCUGAAAUUAUGUAACUGCGACUAAACAAAUCUUUUCUCAUGAAAUCCGGUAAAUAUUUGGACUGUUUCCGGAUCAUCCCAGUUGAACACAUUAGGGAUGACUCAUGGCUGUCAACGUUGCCAUCACAAUCCAGAGCGAGCAAGCAAGUAAGCAGCAGAGAGGAAAAACGCUGAGUGAGACCCAAAACGGGAACAUCAUGUACAGGGUCAAACAAGCUUACUAUUAUUGACGGUACACUAAACUAGAAUUAGCUGACUCUACUAUUAUUUCACUAAGGCACUGACACAGAUUGACUCUCCCCCCCGCUCUGUCUCUCCUUCACUCUCUCACCAUCCUCCCUCUUCUCAUGUGUACUCUCGGCCACUAGGAGGCACUCUUCUCAUGCUCAAGCUGCAGCCGCUGGAGGUUUUGGCUGUGAUGAUGCAGAGACGCCUCAGACAUGGCAGAGCAGCGUAGACGCCAAUCUGCCUGCACACCCUCGCAGAGUCCUGACUUGCCUUGUCUCGCCUGAUACCCCCCCAGACCUCCAGAUUUCCCUCCUUUUUUUUGCACUACACCGUCCAGACAAAUUUUAGCAUCAAGUGUUUUUUUUGCAGAUAUAUAGCCAGUACCGCGAGCUCAUGGAUGGCCUCGAGCGAAUGGCACGCGGGUCAGAAUCCACAAAUUAAAAAGUCCUCCCAGGGGAGCCUGGAACACGCUGCUCUCUCCAUAGUAUACAUUCACAGGCAACAAAGACAUAAAAGCAGCACAGCACCGAACAAUGUCAUUCAACACGCAUGUAUGAACUGUUUGAAGACACGAAAACACUUGAAAAAAAAAAAAAAAAAUACACAGCAAUGAUGUGAUUCAGCAAAUGUUUUACCGGGUCAAAAUUAAAUCUUUCACUUUGAAAUUAAAAGACGUUUCUCUGGCUAGUCUCUGGAGACUCGUGUAGCUUUUUCAAUACAGUGAGAAGGAUACUGGCAGCAGGAUGUUUGCCUGGUAAUAGCGUUGUAAUCAUUUUGAGAGAGAGAGAGAGAGAGAAAAUUAGAGAUGUGAAUUAGCAGCUAUUUUUGCUCUAUUAGAGUGCAAUGACAGAGCUUGAAUAGCAAAUUUCUUAAACAAAUUUAUAAAUUCCCAUACUGAAAUUCAUUAAAAGGAUUAUUUAACAAUCAAAGCAUCGCCAGUUUUACUAUGAUUUUUAAACAAACUAUUUUAAGAUGCACAAAAGAAAAUGAAUUGUUAUUGACAUUUUCAGUUUUUACCCCCAAACAAAUAAAAAUGCUCUCCCAUGAAUUGUAAAUGAGAACAUUUUACACUUUUCUGUAUUGCAGGUAACACUUGAGUUCCGUGCUGUCAGUCUGAGACAAUAACAGCCACACAUUCCUCUAGUACAAAGCUGUUGUCCCUCAUUAGCUGCCACACACAGCCAGCUCCUCCCUGUCCACAGUAAAGUGGAGUAGACUAUUAAAGGGAAAGCUCUCCUCUGCGCACUGCUUUAUUCUUUAUUUGGACAGGUUUGUCCCGUUGAGCACUCUAUUAGCUCUCCUUCUCUGUAGGUAGUGCUGCCUGUGUCCUGGUUGUGGCCAGUCGACAUGUGUUUACUGCGGCCCCUGCUGCGGAUGGCAGGCUGGUUGGGGGCCCCGUCCGGACCAAGCCCUGCUAAUGGGAGCAGGAGACCCCUCGUGACAGGGCGCUGCUGUGUUGAGCACCGCAGCAGACCCGACCCCUCCCUCCCCUCCAGCUGCGGCCUCAUGGCCCAUGUCCCCCUACCCAUCAUGCCUCGGUGGGAGCAGGUGAACGGCGGAGGGCCAACGCCGGUGAGCUUGGUUUUUUCCUGGGAGAGCAGCGCGCCAUCGCCACGCGCCUCAGUGGUUUCUCCAACAUGGCUCCGGCCCUACGCCACAUGGGCUGGCUUGCCAUUCUGUGUGUCUGUGUGUUUAUAAGUGUGUGUGUGUGUGGGUGUGUGUGUAUGUGUGUGUGUGCGUACGUGCGUGCGUGCGUGCGUGUGUGUGUGUGUAUGUGGGGGUGUAUGGUGGAUGCCAGCCCUAAUGCAAAUGCUUGCCGUUUAAAAAAUGGGAGCCUCUCUCCUCCUCUGUCUCUCCUCUUUGGAAAGGUCUAUUUUGGCCUUCUGGUGCUGGCAGUUAUUUCUUUCCUCUCCAGAAGGACAGAGAGCCAGUGAGAUGCACCUGCCAUCCAUUUUGAAAUUCAACAUUAUUGAUCUGGUCAUGAGGAAUGGAAUUUAUGAAGUUAUGUGUUUUUCUUCAUAGAUCUUCUUAUUGAUUUGUGCCUUAAAACAUUCCCAUUUCUCUGUUGCGGAGUGCUUUUGUGCCUUAUUUACAGGCGUGCUAAUUUGGUGUUAACAGCACAGCAAUACACAGAGAGAAUAUACACACACACACACACACACACACACACACACAGACACACUCAAACUCUCUCUGACACACAUACACACACCAGUCACCGGUGCAACAUCCCAGCAUGCCCUCUGUCUCUGCACCCCUGUAAUUUUACAUAUUGCUUAAAGUAUGUGCUAAUUAAAUUUUCUGUCGGUUUGCAAGAGAAAUAAAUAAUCAGCGGCUAAAAGGCCUAAUUGCGUUUGUCACAUUGUGUCUCGGUGGCUGGUGCAUCGGGAGCACAGCCGCUGCCCUUGCUCAUUGCCAUUCUGUCGUCCUGGCAAGCCCCGGCGCUGCCCCAGGUAUCACCACGCGGCCAUCUGGAGCCGACAUCUGUCUCUCUAUUGAUCACAAGGGUUUAGCACUUGAUCAAACAGACUGCGACAGGAAAUUGCUCUUUUCCCCACAGAAAAGGCCAAUCGCCUGCGUGAGGGUAAUAGAGUGGAACUGAGUAGCAGCACUAGCGCGGUGGGCAGGCGGGCACAGCCAGGCAGGCAGGCAGGCAGGCAGGCACGGCGGUGUCAGCCGCUGUGGAGGUGGCACGGAUGGUGCUAACGUCCACCGCCAUGUUACCUAGACCAUGUUUCUAACCUUUCGGCAACAGCAGCACUUGACAAAUUAUAAUUUACAGUCAUGCAGAUUUUGAGUUUUCCACUCUGAGCACAUCAUUGAGAAUCUGUGUAUGCAUGCAGGAGACCAUCACCCCUGAUUAAAAAAACAUGUCAUUUGAAGAGCAGAAUUUAUCUUUCAAGUCAUUCAGGUAAAUGUCUGAGCCAACAGCUGUCUGAAACUGUUAGAAAAGCUGCAUGCAAGUGAAAUACGCUACAUGAUAAGUACAACAGAUGGUGGGAAAUUAAUGUAUUUUUUCUGAAAUAUUUAUUUUUUUUAAAAAGGGCUUUCUGUCAGUUUUAAUAAUUAAAAUACAUGACAGAGGCAGAAAUGGAGAAGGUACCUGAUAUUUCUGGAGGGCUCCUAAGAAGUUUUGUGCUGGGGAGAGACGUGUACGAUGGGCUCAUGGUGUUGUCAUUUAUACAUAUGUUUAUUUGGUUUAUUGUUUAUUGUCUAUUUUGUUACUAUUUUGUUGUAUGGUUGAAUAUUUUAGUUACCCUGUCAUUUUUAUCUUGAUUUUUGUCGAGAAAAGAUGACACGGUGAUGUUUUGGGGAUAUGUUCAUGUUGCAAAUUGUAUGUUUUGUGUGUUCUGUUAAAGUCAAAUAAAAAUUGUUAAUCAUAAAAAUGCAUGACAGAGGGAAACUCUAGCAAUGUACAGACCUUUUUAAAAACAAUGUGUUUAAUAUGUAACUGAGCACCCGGGUUCAAUAGUGGGAAAUCCCUGACAAGGCUGCUGUCUCUUGCUCACUGCUAUCCCCAGUGGAGUCAAACACAGUAUUAGUGCCUGAGGUGAACAGCUCCUGAAUGUAUGUUACAGUAUGUUAGCUGGGGCUGUGGUCCACAUCUAAAAUAGUGGAUCAUUUCUCUACUCAGGCAUGCUUUCGAGGCACUCACUGUAACACCAUGUUUAGCAAGUAUGGACAAUUUGAUACUGAAGGUGACAUUUAUUCAGCAUUGUAGCAAAUAUUUAAUUGUUCCUGCAGAGAGCGAGAUAUGUUUCCCCUUGCCUACAGUGCUGGGAUUGUCCUUUGGAAUAUGAUGCAAAUUUGGGAUGAAGCAACUAAUUCCUUCCUUGCACCCCCUGUACCGCCCCCUCCCUCAAUCCUCCGCCAGCCUCCAUCCUCCUCAGACACGAGGAUUCUGAUUAAUCGUGUGACCGCCCCUCGUUUUGCAUUUUUUACACAAUCUCACGGCGCCACGGUGAGAUGUGUGAGGUGUUUUGCCACUUUUGGCAAGCUGAAAAGAUGUAGCCCAAGGAAGAACAAGUCGAAAGUAUGAGGGGGAAAAGAAAAUAUGACCAGGGGACGUGAUAAAAAAUUAUCAGCCAGUGUGUUUUCCUGUUUGGUUUUAAUCUACAUUUAAUUAAAUUCUUAUCUGCUGUGUGCUUAUGGCUGCAUUUGAAUGGCGAGGCUGCAUUCAUUAUGAAUGGUAAAAUUGAACUCAGUGCAUUGUGUGUGGCCCAAUAAAGAAACAAGAAUCUUAUUGCAGUGCAUGCACAAGCUCCGACAGACAUGCGGAAAAAAUAAGUCAAUUAAGAUCGGUCUUUAAAUUACCGCUGUAUCAAAACAAGGGGCGGGAGCAUGCUCCAUAAUAGAAUCCUGACAGGGGAAGGAGCACAGUUGACUCUUGUUAAUAUACAUCCCAUUUGAUACAGCCAAUUGUAUUUGCCUGUUUAUGGAAUGCACAUAGUUGAUGCACACUAGAUUUACUAGUGUGUCAUGAUAGUUCAUAAUCGACAGUGCUGGAAAAAAAAAAAAUGGUUGACUUCAAUGAAUGUAGAGGUCAAAUGAAAACUGCAGUUGCACUGCAGCUGUAAAAUAAGAGUUCCUCAUAAAGAUUCAGCUGGUUUAUCACAACGUUAGACGUCAACAGCAAAGGUCAAUGACAGAGUAUGUAGACAAUAUGUGGGCAGAUACUGAAGUAGGGCUGCACGAUAUGAGGAGAAUAUGCGAUAUGUGAUAAUGUGGAAUAUCACGAUAGCGAUAUUACUAGCGAUAAAUGAUAACAGAUAUGAACGUAUCCUCAGUUCUGCAUUUACGCUGCUUUUAUGAUUCUGCUAAAAUGCAACAGAUGGCUUGUUGGAUUUAAAACAAAUGAAAGGAAAUCAUUUCCAACAUUCUUUUACUGAACAAAUUGAACAUUGGAUUGAAUAUAAAAGGCACCACUAAAGAAAGAAUGUUACAUUUUAAAGUGCACUUUCCUACUGCUAUUUUCUUGUCUUUCGCGAUACGCCGCAGCCUUGUGCGAUUUGUUUACUGCGGCGGUUGAUAUCGCGAUGACGAUAA